AACAGUUUCAUCUUGCUAAUAAUAAAUAAAUAUUAACAUAUAAUAAAAUAAACUAUAUAUUAUUAUGUUAAUUAUUGCCAAUAGUGACGUUUGCGCCCAUAUUUACUUAGAAUAUUGUACUGAGCUGAUGAACAGUGAAAUCACAGGUUCAUUAUCUGUUUUAUUAUUCAAUUCAACUAAAGUUUGGACCAUUGCCAUCAGAAUAUUCUUAUUGUUUACAAUUUCAUCCUUAAGUUGAAUUUGAUUCAAGCUGGGUUCAGACUCUGUUUUAUUUGCAUUAUUUACAAUUUUUACAUUUUUAUUUAAUUUAUGUACAUUUUGGCUUAUUGAUGGUAGGGUCUUAACAAUGCUGCUCGGCUGUGUAGGUAAAGACGGAAAAUCAGAUGUCGUAAUUGUAUUAGCCACAGAGGCAUAAGUAAUGUUACCCUUUUUUUCCAGUAUUUUUUUCAUUUUUAUUGGGCAAGAUUUGGAAAUGGCCAGGUGAGGGUCACUGCAAUUGACACAACACACGGUGGUUGAACUUGAAGCACCGGAAGCAUUGUUGCAACGGCGGGACAUAUUCAAACACCCUUAACGAAAAUAGGUCAUAUGAGGCCUUUAUAAUCAAAGGCAGCUAAAUCCAAGUCUGUCAAAUAUUCAGAUAAACUACAAAAAUCGGCCCUAAACACGUCAUUACGGGUCCUCCCGAUCCAUCGAAGUACUGCUCUUGCUAGGGCCAGUGUUACUGCCGGGUUUGAGAAACUGAAAUAACUUUGUUCGGAUAGCUACGAUAUUCUUUAUUUAAAGCAUAGAAGCAAUAAUCUGAGUUUUAAAUGAUAAAACUUCGUUUAUGAGUAGGUACUUAGCACACAGUAAAAAUGAAAUUUUUGAACUAAAUUUGUUAGAGAUUUAGCUGCAUUUGUUAUAACAUGAAAACACUAAAGCGUGUUCAACUAACUAUACAAGAUAGGACCAUUGUUAAUCCAUUUUACGACAUUAAGGCGUUUAGCUGCCUCUGAUUUCAUAGGCCUCAUAUUGGAUGUUGUCGGGCAGAACAUUUGAUAAGAAAGUUAUACUGACAGUCUCGAGACCUACAGUACUUUGACCGACUUUUUUCGUGAAUCUUCUCAUUGAAAUAAUUUCAUAGAUCGAAGACAGUUUCGUAUAUAAAUCCUUGUUCGAAAUGUUGGUAGGCACAUAUCGGAUGAUUUUCUAUCUGCGCUGCAGGAAUAUGCGCCUUCAAGUUGUGCUUUGUUAAAAGUCUGUAUUUGUGAUGAAAUUAUUUGUAUUGUUUAAAAACAACCGCAAUUUUGUUGGGAUCGACUCUAUGUAAAGCUACCACACCUUUCACCUCCGAAGUAAAAAUAUGAUUUAAGUAAA